CCCCUUUUUGGCAUAAUCAAAAAGGCAUAAAACAUAAAAAAUAGAGAGAAAAACACUUCAUUAAACAGCACAAAGGCAAACAGCAGUCAAAAACAACAGAUUCAAGAGAAUAUCAGAGCUAAAAAAGAAAAGACAGAAGCAAAAACACUAGGCAACCAAAAUAAAUCCUAAGUGCCUAAGGGUUUGGAGGAGGAGGAAGUCUCUGUAGUAGCAUGGCAAACAUAUUCUGGAGGUUUUCAUUCAGAGCGUCUUGUUUGUCCAUCCUUGCCCGGAGCUCACUCUGAUCUUGCUUGAUCUCUUUCUGAUCUUGCUUGAUCUCCUUCAGAGUGUUAAGAAUCAGAGGGAUCGCAGAG
rnacentral:lncRNA from 1 species